CAAUAGCGUAUAUUAAAGUUGUUGCAGUUAAAAAGCUCGUAGUUGGAUUUCUGGUGGGAGCGAUCGGUCUGGCGCUUAGCGCGAGUACUUGCAUCGUCUCCGGCCAUCCCUGGGGAGAGUCUGUCUGGCAUUAGGUUGUCGGGCAGAGGAUCCUCAUCGUUUACUGUGAAAAAAUUAGAGUGUUCAAAGCAGGCUUAUGCCGUUGAAUAUAUUAGCAUGGAAUAAUAAGAUAGGACUUUGGUACUAUUUUGCUGGUUUGCGCACCAAAGUAAUGAUUAAUAGGGACAGUUGGGGGUAUUCGUAUUCCGUUGUCAGAGGUGAAAUUCUUGGAUUUACGGAAGACGAACUACUGCGAAAGCAUUUACCAAGGAUGUUUUCAUUAA
rnacentral:rRNA from 1 species